rnacentral:RNase_P_RNA from 1 species
AAAGUUAACCAGACAAUCGCUGAUUAAAUAAUUUUAAAAUUUAUAAAAUAUUAAUUAUUUAGAAAGAGGAAAGUCCGGGCUCCACAGGAUAAAAGUGCCAGAUAACAUCUGGGAGAUGUGAAUCUACGAAAAGUGUAACAGAAAUAAACCGCUAAUUUUACAUUUAGUAAGGGUGAAAAGGGGUGGUAAGAGCACACCGUGAAAUUGGUAACAAUUUUCAGCAAUACAAACUCCACUUGGAGCAAGGUUAAAUAAAGUUUAAAAUUAUAUGAUCCUGUAUAUAUUAAAUUUAGGUAAACCGCUAAAGUAAUUAAGUAAUUAAUUUCUUAGACAAAUGAUUGUCAAAAAACAGAACCCGGCUUACAGGUUAACUUUAUAA